UACAGCCACAUCAUGUUUGAACCCCUGUUCCUAUAUGGUCACUGAAGUUAAGCAAUGUUGAGCCUGGUCAGUAACUAGAUGGGUAACUGUGUGGGAAUAUCAGGUGCUGUAA